rnacentral:rRNA from 1 species
CUUGCGACAAUGGGCGAAAGCCUGACGCAGCAACGCCGCGUGCGGGAGGACGGCCUUCGGGUUGUAAACCGCUUUUCGGGGGGAAGAGGAAGGACGGUACCCCCGGAAGAAGUCUCGGCUAACUACGUGCCAGCAGCCGCGGUAAUACGUAGGGUGCGAGCGUUAAUCGGAAUUACUGGGCGUAAAGCGUGCGCAGGCGGUCUUGCAAGACAGUGGUGAAAUCCCCGGGCUCAACCUGGGAACUGCCAUUGUGACUGCAAGGCUGGAGUACGGCAGAGGGGGAUGGAAUUCCGCGUGUAGCAGUGAAAUGCGUAGAUAUGCGGAGGAACACCGAUGGCGAAGGCAGUCCCCUGGGCCUGUACUGACGCUCAUGCACGAAAGCGUGGGGAGCAAACAGG